GCAUGUAUCAAUAUUUUAUAUUAGAUUUGUUUCAUAUCGAGACCGGAUAGGAUUCCUUCACGUCGGAAGUUACACGUUGAAAAGAUGCAGGAGUGCCCAAAAAAAUAACAAACAUAUGUUCUCUACAAGACAAAAUGAAAAGGACUGAAAACUGAAACUUUUAUAUGAAACAACAAAGGCACCAAGGACAUCUUAAAACAGUACCCGGCACUCCAUUUGUCAGCCAUUGUAAAGUCUAAUAGAAAUAAAUGGUACAAAGCACAGCUAAUGUAGCAUAGCCAAGUACUGUAAUCUGAAUCCGAGAUACAUUGAUGACGCAUUAUAAACAAACUGACUUUCAGUACGGAUGUGGACAGGAACGUUCUGUCAGGAUUCGGCACAAUGGCCGACAAAAGUCAUUGCAGAAACGGAGAGGGGUGUGGCCGUGGAGUUGCUGAAUCUCUACAAGACGGCACUUCUCUCACACACGGAGGAGGCUCACAAAGGUGUGAAGGUCAAUGCAGCCAUUUUGCUCCUCCCCUACCUCUUCAAAGAAAAUCCAAGUGGGCUGUACAUCUCAGUCCAGUGUGUAAAGUUCCCAUCAUCUACCAUGAGAAUCGAGGGGAAAACCCUUUGCGGAUGAGAGCCACAUCCAACUCUUCCUGGAUGGAGAGGAGCUACUCACUGAAGAGCCGGAAGACAUCUCCAUGGGGAUGCAUGUCCCUUCUAAUAUUGAGUAUGCAGCAUCAGUGAAAAGAACAAUGCUGUUCAUUCAGACAUCUUCUGGGAAUUGAUGAGGGGAUAAAUGAUCAACAAAUAUUGUAUGAAUGGCAAACCUUUUGCUGUAGUGCGAGAUAGGGGAGAUCAGAGAUUCCUGUGAUGUCUGCAAGUGAUAUUUCUGUGACUUUUAAAGUCAAUAAAAUGUAUUUGUGACUUUACAAGUUUGCCACUUAAUGUU